AGCUCUCCGAGUGGUGUGGAUGUUUAUUGGGCCUAAAGCAUCCGUAGCUGGCUAAGUUAGUCCCUUGUUAAAUCCACCGAAUUAAUCGUUGGAUUGCGGGGGAUACUGCUUGGCUAGGGGACGAGAGAGGCAGACGGUAUUUUUGGGGUAGGGGUGAAAUCCUAUAAUCCCAGGAAGACCACCAGUGGCGAAGGCUGUCUACUAGAACGCGCCCGACGGUGAGGGAUGAAAGCUGGGGGAGCGAACC
rnacentral:rRNA from 1 species